rnacentral:rRNA from 1 species
GAUGAACGCUAGCGGCAGGCUUAACACAUGCAAGUCGAGGGGUAGGAGAAGCUUGCUUUUCUGAGACCGGCGCACGGGUGCGUAACGCGUAUGCAAUCUACCUUUCACAGAGGGAUGGCCCAGAGAAAUUUGGAUUAAUACCUCAUAGUAUACUUGAAUGGCAUCAUUUAAUUAUUAAAGAUUUAUCGGUGAAAGAUGAGCAUGCGUCCCAUUAGCUAGUUGGUAUGGUAACGGCAUACCAAGGCAACGAUGGGUAGGGGUCCUGAGAGGGAGAUCCCCCACACUGGUACUGAGACACGGACCAGACUCCUACGGGAGGCAGCAGUGAGGAAUAUUGGACAAUGGGCGCAAGCCUGAUCCAGCCAUGCCGCGUGCAGGAUGACGGUCCUAUGGAUUGUAAACUGCUUUUAUACAGGAAGAAACACCUCUACGUGUAGAGACUUGACGGUACUGUAAGAAUAAGGAUCGGCUAACUCCGUGCCAGCAGCCGCGGUAAUACGGAGGAUCCAAGCGUUAUCCGGAAUCAUUGGGUUUAAAGGGUCCGUAGGCGGUCAGGUAAGUCAGUGGUGAAAGCCCAUCGCUCAACGGUGGAACGGCCAUUGAUACUGUCUGACUUGAAUUAUUAGGAAGUAACUAGAAUAUGUAGUGUAGCGGUGAAAUGCUUAGAGAUUACAUGGAAUACCAAUUGCGAAGGCAGGUUACUACUAAUUGAUUGACGCUGAUGGACGAAAGCGUGGGUAGCGAACAGGAUUAGAUACCCUGGUAGUCCACGCCGUAAACGAUGGAUACUAGCUGUUGGGAGCAAUCUCAGUGGCUAAGCGAAAGUGAUAAGUAAUCCACCUGGGGAGUACGAACGCAAGUUUGAAACUCAAAGGAAUUGACGGGGGCCCGCACAAGCGGUGGAGCAUGUGGUUUAAUUCGAUGAUACGCGAGGAACCUUACCAAGGCUUAAAUGUAGAUUGACCGUUUGGAAACAGAACU